AAAGGGUGUGGAGGUGGCAGUGACCUGGAAGUCUGAGAGGUUGAAGAGAAGAGAUGCGGGCAGUGAAUUCACAGGUGCUCUGUGAGGAGGAGAAAUGAUGAAAAAAAAUGGAAGGUUCUGCUGCGUGACACAUCCAUUUCUGCUCCAUUUCUGAGGAUUUGACUUAAGCAGACUUGCUUAUGGACCCAUGACAGAGUGUCUGACUUCAGGUGACUUGUUUAUGGGCCCAUGAUGAAGACCAAGCCCCUUGGGAUGCACUGGAGAUAGUGGUAACAGUAGACCUUUCUGGAAACCCCCUUAGAAAGACUGUCAGUCUCAUCCAUUAAAGGUCAGGAAAUCCCA